AUUGAACGCUGGCGGCAGGCCUAACACAUGCAAGUCGAACGGUAACAGGAAGCAGCUUGCUGCUUCGCUGACGAGUGGCGGACGGGUGAGUAAUGUCUGGGAAGCUGCCUGAUGGAGGGGGAUAACUACUGGAAACGGUAGCUAAUACCGCAUAAUGUCGCAAGACCAAAGAGGGGGACCUUCGGGCCUCUUGCCAUCGGAUGUGCCCAGAUGGGAUUAGCUUGUUGGGGGGGUAACGGCUCACCAAGGCGACGAUCCCUAGCUGGUCUGAGAGGAUGACAGGCCACACUAGGACUGGGACACGGUCCAGACUCCUACGGGAGGCAGCAGUGGGGAAUAUUGCACAAUGGGCGCAAGCCUGAUGCAGCCAUGCCGCGUGUAUGAAGAAGGCCUUCGGGUUGUAAAGUACUUUCAGCGGGGAGGAAGGGAGUAAAGUUAAUACCUUUGCUCAUUGACGUUACCCGCAGAAGAAGCACCGGCUAACUCCGUG
rnacentral:rRNA from 1 species